rnacentral:rRNA from 1 species
AUUGAACGCUGGCGGCAGGCCUAACACAUGCAAGUCGAACGGUAACAGGAAGAAGCUUGCUUCUUUGCUGACGAGUGGCGGACGGGUGAGUAAUGUCUGGGAAACUGCCUGAUGGAGGGGGAUAACUACUGGAAACGGUAGCUAAUACCGCAUAACGUCGCAAGACCAAAGAGGGGGACCUUCGGGCCUCUUGCCAUCGGAUGUGCCCAGAUGGGAUUAGCUAGUAGGUGGGGUAACGGCUCACCUAGGCGACGAUCCCUAGCUGGUCUGAGAGGAUGACCAGCCACACUGGAACUGAGACACGGUCCAGACUCCUACGGGAGGCAGCAGUGGGGAUUAUUGCACAAUGGGCGCAAGCCUGAUGCAGCCAUGCCGCGUGUAUGAAGAAGGCCUUCGGGUUGUAAAGUACUUUCAGCGGGGAGGAAGGGAGUAAAGUUAAUACCUUUGCUCAUUGACGUUACCCGCAGAAGAAGCACCGGCUAACUCCGUG